GUAUGUGUUUACCAAGCCUCUGCUUGCAUUGCCAGGUCUGCUAAGGCCAGAUUGGCUGAAGAAGUCAUGUGAUCAAGACCAGACUCAGUGUAGGAAGAAACUUUAUUAGUGCAUAAAUCCUGGGAGAGAUUAGAGGCUACUCAGGUAAUGGUUGAUCAUAGAUGUCAUAUAACUCAGUGGUUCUCAACUAGGGGUGAUUUCAUCCCACAAAGGGCAUUUGACAAUAUCUGCAGACAUUACCAGGGUGCUGGAAUCAUGUGGUGACCCAGGAUGCACAGAACAGCUCCUCACAAGCAAAGAACAAGCCAACCCAAAGUGUCCCAGCGUCUGUGUGGAGAAACCCUGAAGGCAUCCACACACACAUGCACCAUUCUGGCUGUUUAGCAUGUGUUCUCUCUCUUCCCAACACAUUUUCCCCCUAUUGCUUUUGACAGAAUGUACAAGAUAUAAAAUUCUCUCAGAGCUCUCUCAGUGACUGCUUGGAUUGGCUUCAGAUGAAUAUGACAGGUGCAGCAUCUCCGGCUCAUAUGCCUUGCCAGUCAAACAUAUGCACAUCACGUCUAGAGCAACGGCGGUAAUAUUCCAUGGCUAAAAGAAGUUGCACAUCCAACUUCCACUAAAACAUCUCAAACUACUUUCUCUUAAGCCUUCUGGUUUUCAGGUGUUCUUUGUGCAUCUCUUCUCCAGGUAAAUUGUUCUAUUCCUCAUGAUACCAAGAUUACAUUUGCUCUUUUUACAAAGGGAAUUUUCUUUCAACAGUUCAAUAAAUUCUAACUGUGCACCUACUUGUAGACAAGAACUGUCCCGGGUGCUGGGCUAUAAUGGUGAACAAAACAAUACUGUACAUGCGUGGAGCUUCCUUUCUAGUUAGAGAGACAGACAGUAAGCAAAUCAGAGAAUAAGUGAAAGAUACUGUUAGGUAACAAAAAGCUCUGUAUGUGAGAUCCCUCAUUCUUUGUUUACAGCUGCAUGUUAUUCCAGUAUGUAAAGCUGCUGUUGUUUAUUCAACCAGUCUCAUAAGUAUGGUCACUUCGUUUCUUUCUAAUAUGUUGUAAUUAUAAAUAAUGCAUUAAUCUCCAGGAUAUACAGAGAACUAAAAAAAAACUCAACACCAGAAAAAAAUAAUACAAUCAAUAAAUGGGCUAAGGAACUGAACAGACACUUUACAGAAGAAAUAGGAAUGAUCAACAAAUAUAUAAAAAAAUGUUCAACAUCUCUAGCAAUUAGAGAAAUGCAAAUUAAAACUACACUGAGAUUCCAUCUUACUCCAGUCAGAAUGGCAAUUAUCAAGAAUACAAGCAACAAUAAGUGUUGGUGAGGAUGUGGGGAAAAAGGUACACUCAUAACGUUGCUGGUGGGACUGCAAAUUGAUGCACCCACUCUGGAAAGCAGUAUGGAGAUUCCUCAGAAAACUUGGAAUGGAACCAUCAUUUGACCCAGUUAUCUCACUUCUUAAUAUAUACCCAAAGGACUUUAAAUCAGCAUACUACAGUGACACAGUCACAUCACUGUUUAUAGUAGCUCAAUUCAAAAUAGCUAAGCUAUGGAAUCAACCUAGGUGUCCUUCAACAGAUGAAUGGAUAAAGAAAAUGUAGUACAGGGCUGGAGAUGUGGCUCAAGUGGUAGCGCGCUUGCCUGGCAUGCAUGCGGCCCAGGUUCGAUCCUCAGCACCACAUACAAACAAAGAUGUUGUGUUCACCGAAAACUAAAAAAAAUAAAUAAAUAUUAAAAUUCUAAAAAAAGAAAAUGUAGUACAUAUACAUAAUGGAAUGUUACUCAGCCAUAAAGAAGAAUGAAAUUAUGGCACUUGCCAGUAAAUGGAUGAAACUGGAGACUAUCAUGCUUAGUGAAAUGAGCCAAUUCCAAAAAACCAAAGGCCAAAUGCUCUUUGAUAUGUGGAUGCUAACACACAAUAAGGGUCGGGGAGAGGGGAGGAAAGACUAGAAGUUCAUUGGAUUAGACAGAGGUGGAUGAAGGGAAGGGAGGGAGGAUGGGAACAGGAGACAGUAGAAUGAAUCGGCAUAACUUUCCUGUGUUCAAAUGUGAAUACAUGAGCAGUAAAACUCCACACCAUGUAAGAGUGGCAUUCUAAUUAGAAUAAGUUAUCCUAAUUAGAAUGAGUUAUACAUUUGUAUGUAUGUCAAAAUACACUCCACUAUCAUGUAUAUCUGAAAGGAACAAAUAAAAAUAAAUAAAUAAUGC
rnacentral:lncRNA from 1 species